rnacentral:rRNA from 1 species
UACGGGGGGAGCAAGCGUUGUUCGAUUUACUGGGCGUAAAGGGCGCGUAGGCGGCCACCGCAAGUCAAUUGUGAAAUCUCCGGGCUUAACUCGGAAAGGUCAACUGAUACUGCGGGGCUAGAGUGCAGAAGGGGCAACUGGAAUUCUCGGUGUAGCGGUGAAAUGCGUAGAUAUCGAGAGGAACACCUGCGGCGAAGGCGGGUUGCUGGGCUGACACUGACGCUGAGGCGCGAAAGCUAGGGGAGCGAACGGG